rnacentral:rRNA from 1 species
CCACCGCAGGUACGCUAACUGCAGUCGAGCGAAGGAUUAGAGCUUGCUCUUAUGAAGUUAGCGGCGGACGGGUGAGUAACACGUGGGUAACCUGCCCAUAAGACUGGGAUAACUCCGGGAAACCGGGGCUAAUACCGGAUAACAUUUUGAACCGCAUGGUUCGAAAUUGAAAGGCGGCUUCGGCUGUCACUUAUGGAUGGACCCGCGUCGCAUUAGCUAGUUGGUGAGGUAACGGCUCACCAAGGCAACGAUGCGUAGCCGACCUGAGAGGGUGAUCGGCCACACUGGGACUGAGACACGGCCCAGACUCCUACGGGAGGCAGCAGUAGGGAAUCUUCCGCAAUGGACGAAAGUCUGACGGAGCAACGCCGCGUGAGUGAUGAAGGCUUUCGGAUCGUAAAACUCUGUUGUUAGGGAAGAACAAGUGCUAGUUGAAUAAGCUGGCACCUUGACGGUACCUAACCAAAAAGCCACGGCUAACUACGUGCCACCAGCCGCGGUAAUACGUAGGUGGCAAGCGUUAUCCGGAAUUAUUGGGCGUAAAGCGCGCGCAGGUGGUUUCUUAAGUCUGAUGUGAAAGCCCCCGGCUCACCCGUGGAGGGUCAUUGGAAACUGGGAGACUUGAGUGCAAAAAAGGAAAGUGGAAUUCCAUGUGUACCGGUGAAAUGCCUAAAAAUUUGGAGGAACCCCAGUGGCGAAAGGGACUUUCUGGUCUGUAAAUGACACUGAGGCCCGAAAACCUGGGGAGCAAACAAGAUUAAAAACCCCGGGAUUCCACCCCCCAAACCAAAAGGGGCAAAUUGUUAGAGGGGUUUCCCCCCCUUUUUGGGGGCCACUCGUAAAAAGAGAAGGAAAAAAGGGGAAAUUUUCUAGUGCGUGGGGGGUUUAAAGGGGGGAGGAAUUAUGGGGGGGGAACCCCCGGGGGGGGGGAGGGGCGCUUUUUUGUGUUUUGUCACCGGCCCUUGGAGGGGAGAAAAGCGGGGGGGACCCAAACCCGGGUUUAGAUCCCCCGGGUAUUCCCCGCCUUUAACCGGGGAGUCCAAAGUGUUGGGGGUUUUCCCCCUUUGGGGGGGAAGAAACCGCAUAAACCACUCCCCGGGGGGAGUCCGGCCCCAAGGCUAAAACUCAAGGGAUUUGAGGGGGGCCCGCACAAGCGGUGGAGCAUGUGUUUUAUUUCGAAGCAACGGGAAGACCCUUCCCGGGUCUUGACAUCUUUGGACAACCUUAGAGAUAGGGUUUCUCUUUGGGGACCAGAGUGACAGGUGGUGCAUGGUUGUCGUCAGCUCGUGUCGUGAGAUGUUGGGUUAAGUCCCGCAACGAGCGCAACCCUUGUUCUUAGUUGCCAUCAUUAAGUUGGGCACUCUAAGGUGACUGCCGGUGACAAACCGGAGGAAGGUGGGGAUGACGUCAAAUCAUCAUGCCCCUUAUGACCUGGGCUACACACGUGCUCCAAUGGACGGUACAAAGAGUUGCAAGCCCGCGAGGGGGAGCUAAUCUCAUAAAACCGUUCUCAGUUCGGAUUGUAGGCUGCAACUCGCCUACAUGAAGCGGGAAUCGCUAGUAAUCGCGGAUCACCAUGCCGCGGUGAAUACGUUCCCGGCCCUUGUACACACCGCCCGUCACACCACGAGAGUUUGUAACACCCGAAGUCGGUGGGUAACCUUUGAGCCGCCCUAUGUGUCGUGGCG